AAAACUACAGGGGUAGCCGGUUCCUCUUUCUUUCUACAUAAUACGUCCAAAAAUGGGGAGAAACGGGGUGAUGGAAUUCUGAGUUCCCAAGGAAGGGGGGAAAAACAAUGAAAGGAAAUAAAAUUACAGAAAAGGCAAAAGCCAAUCUCAUGUGGGACGACUGCCAUGGGAGGAUUUCUAUCCUGCUUUCCUGCUCCUCGGCUCAUGGCUAAAUGACGCUGCCAACUAAAGUCAUUUUAUUGACGACUGUAUCACCAUUCCUGCAAUUAAAUUCAUAUUUGACGGUAAGAGAUACUGUUCAUAAACACUCACCGUGUUUGGACAAGGAAUUCUGCUUUCCUGAGCCUCAGUUUUCACCUGUUACUUUAAAAUAUCUCGUUAAAAGUCAAGUUUUCCAGCCUUUUG